rnacentral:rRNA from 1 species
CCCUUAGAUGUUCUGGGCCGCACGCGCGCUACACUGAUGCAUUCAACGAGUCUAAAACCUGCUCUGAUAGGGGUGGGUAAUCUUUUGAAUGUGCAUCGUGAUUGGGAUAGAUGAUUGAAAUUUUUCAUCUUCAACGAGGAAUGCCUAGUAAACGCAAGUCAUCAGCUUGCAUUGAUUACGUCCCUGCCCUUUGUACACACCGCCCGUCGCUCCUACCGAUUGAAUGAUCCGAUGAAUAUCAUGGAUUGAGGAUGCAAGUAGGUUCACCUAUCUUCAUCUUCGAGAAGUGAAGUAAAGCUUAUCAUUUAGAGGAAGGAGAAGUCGUAACA